UGGGGGAUGGAACAGAAACUGAGAUUUUCCAUGGCCAAAACUGGUGCUCUGGCUUUAAAAUGAGCUCAUGUUGCUACAUGCAUUUUGUUAUCAUUUCCUUUCACAGGGAAUAGGAUUGGCACCUGUGUAUCCUCAGAAUAAAAUUGCACCCUAUGCACUGAACUCACAUUUGAUUAGGAAAUAAGGCCCUGCACCUGGUGGAACAUGAAUUUGUCCUCAGACCAUCUUUGCAGAAUUGCUUUCUUGACUGCCUGGAACUGAGGGUUAUCCAGUGGCUCUCUUAAUUUCAUGGAGCUUGGUUGGUGAAAUUGAAAGUCAGUGUAACAUAUUGAUGGAUUCGGUGCCAGAGUCCUUUUCUUCGGGUCCAUUGCUGUUGGAUGUAUAACCUCUGUAGCAGAAGCUGUAUAUGUGUGAGUGCCAACUGCUGGAGACAGACAACCAGACAACCUAACAUUCGUGGAGAUGCUAGAAACACUUGGGUGCUCACUGGUGAAGAUGGGAUGGUAGACACAAUUGUCCCUUGCUCCAGUUCAUCAAGGUCACAGUCCAGUUUAUUGACCUGAUUGUGAUCAUGAGGAAAAUGAAUAUGCCGGCAGAGAAGGAACAGUAAGCCAUUUAACCCAGCCCCAUGUAACCAAGAAAGCAGAAGACAAGUUCAUUAAGAAGUAGCAAGUGGCCUCCAGAAGGUGGCAAUGUUUGAUACUGAAGACACUCUUGCUUUGACAGUUUUUAGCGUGUAACAUUUUGUUAAAGUGAUGUAUAAAGUUUCUGUGAGCUUGCUGACAGGAGGCUUGGGAUCUUGUGAAAUCUUCCUCUUUGAGCUGGUAUCUGUAGACUUCUGAGAGCUGAGAACUGAGAGAUUGGUUUGAAAAGGAGAGCCCAGCAAUAUACAGGAUGUGUAUCUGAUACAAUGGAUCCCACUCCCUUUUAUGGCCAUCAAAGCUAUUGCACCGCUUUUAAUGCCUUACACAGAUCUGGAAAGAAAAUGUUGUGCUUUGGAAUGAAAGAAUUGCUAGUUAGCAUGCGCUACUCCUACUGAUACUCCUUGCCAAAUGCAAGAGUUAUUUAUAGCAGUCAAAUGUGCAAAACAUGUUUGAAAGAAAUAGAGUGGAAAAUGUGACAUGCCUAACCCAUCUUUGUGGGUAGACGUGGCUUUUUGUUUUCUUUUUCUUUUUUCCCCUUCCAGGUUUGCUCUCAUUUGCAUCCUCUUAUGGAGUUCGAGGCUCCUUUGAAUUAAAGAUGUCUUACUUCGUUUAAA